CGCCUCCCAGGGAAUUGAGCGAACUAAGUCCUUGGUCGAGUAGUACAAGAAGUUGGAAGUUGAUGAUGAUGUCGCGGCUGAAUUGAACAUCACUUCCUCUCGGCAGAAUGAGGAUUGGGAAAAACUUAGGGAACGAAUUCGUUCAGUAUGGGGUAGACUGUAAUUAAGACAUAUGAUGUCUUUUUUCUUUUGUAAUUCGAUUUUUCCCUUUGUAACUUUGUUCAUCAUUAAUGAACAUUAACUUCUUG
rnacentral:lncRNA from 1 species